rnacentral:lncRNA from 1 species
CCGGAGCCCCGGGAACCGCCCCGGAUCCCAGCCUCGCCCUGGACCGCCCACCGCGAUGUGAGACAAGCUGAGAGAAAUCGACUUGUGAGUCUAGAACUGAGAAAAUGGGGGGAAAUACUCGAAAACCGGGAAUAAGAAGGAGAGAAACCGAGCUCAAGCCAAAGAAGAAAAUUGGGCCGAGGAGCCACCUGACAGUGACUGCUGAAGAUCUAACCCAGAGCUGCAGAAUGGAUCUCCUCAUGUGAGAGGAUGAUACAAGGAGACUGAGAGGCAGUUGUUGUUCUCUGACCUCUCUGACUAAGAGGCCGUGUUUUCAUUCAACCCCACAGGAAUAUGAGAGAAGAUAGCAGAUGAUGAGAACAAUCCACAGCAGCAUCUAACUAGAUCAAGAUCAGUUACAUGACAAGGGCGAAAAGGAUUGGAAAGAAGAUGUGUCCAAUUAAAUUGGUUCACCAAGGAACUGUUUUUAAUCCAUCUUACUUCUUUAGUAAUUCAAUGACUUUUAGACCAUUUACAAACUUUAAUUUUCCUACUGCUUCUCUAAGAUCCUUCAUUGUCUAACAAGUUGAUACAUUAUGAAACAAAAUGAAUUGUAUCAACACUGAUAUUCCCAAUAUAAAUAAAACCAGA